rnacentral:rRNA from 1 species
AACGAACGCUGGCGGCAUGCCUGACACAUGCAAGUCGAACGAGACCUUCGGGUCUAGUGGCGCACGGGUGCGUAACGCGUGGGAACCUGCCCUUAGGUUCGGAAUAACUCCCCGAAAGGGGUGCUAAUACCGGAUAAUGUCUUCGGACCAAAGAUUUAUCGCCUUUGGAUGGGCCCGCGUUGGAUUAGCUAGUUGGUAGGGUAAAAGCCUACCAAGGCGACGAUCCAUAGCUGGUCUGAGAGGAUGAUCAGCCACACUGGGACUGAGACACGGCCCAGACUCCUACGGGAGGCAGCAGUGGGGAAUAUUGGACAAUGGGCGAAAGCCUGAUCCAGCAAUGCCGCGUGAGUGAUGAAGGCCUUAGGGUUGUAAAGCUCUUUUACCCGGGAUGAUAAUGACAGGACCGGGAGAAUAAGCUCCGGCUAACUCCGU